AUUGAACGCUGGCGGCAGGCCUAACACAUGCAAGUCGAACGAGUGGCGGACGGGUGAGUAAUGUCUGGGAAACUGCCUGAUGGAGGGGGAUAACUACUGGAAACGGUAGCUAAUACCGCAUACCAUCGGAUGUGCCCAGAUGGGAGUAGCUAGUAGGUUGGGUAAGGGCUCACCUAGGCGACGAUCCCUAGCUGGUCGUAGAGGAUGACCAGCCACACUGGACCUGAGACACGGUCCAGACUCCUACGGUAGGCAGCAGUGGGGAAUAUUGCACAAUGGGCGCAAUCCUGAUGCAGCCAUUCCGCGUGUAUGAAGAAGGCCUUCGUGUUGUAAAGUACUUUCAGCGGGGAGGCGUUACCCGCAGAAGAAGCACCGGCUAACUCCGUGCCAGCAGCCGCGGUAAUUC
rnacentral:rRNA from 1 species